CCCAUAGUGACCCCAUAGACCCCAUACCCCAUAGGGACCCCAUAGAGACCCCCCACCCCGUAGGGACCCCCCCCCCAAAUCAACCCAUUCCCCCAUUGGAAAGGCUGGAGUUGGGGAGGGGUCUCAGGAGGGAUUAUGGGGGGGUCUGAGUGGAAAAUGGGGGGGGGGUCCCUAAAAUGCCCCUGGGACCCCCAUAGAGACCCCCCCCAAAUUGCCCCAUUGGAAAGCCUGGAGCUGGGGAGGGGUCUCAGGAGGGAUUAUGGGGGGGGGUCUUACAGUGUGUGCUCCCCCCCUGGGGGGCAAAAUAAGGGGUUAUGGGUCCCUAUGGGGUGUUAUGGGGGCCCUAUGGGGUGUUAUGGGGUGUUAUGGGGUCUCUAUGGGGUCUUACUCAGUAGGAUGCUCUCGGCCCGUCCCUCCCCCAAUAUGGGUUCGAAGAUCCUCAAUAGGGGCCGGGCCAGCUGCUGCUCCAGGUAAUACUGAGUGUCCAGGGGCAGGUUGUGCUCCAGGGCGUAAAUGGGGUCCUGGGGAACUUACAGGGUCAGUGGGGUCACGGGGGCUAUGG
rnacentral:lncRNA from 1 species